AACGCACAUUGCGCCCCCUGGCAUUCCGGGGGGCAUGCCUGUCCGAGCGUCAUUUCUGCCCUCAAGCGCGGCUUGUGUGUUGGGCGUGGUCCCCCCUGAUUUUGGGGGGGACCUGCCCGAAAGGCAGCGGCGACGUCCCGCCUAGGACCUCGAGCGUAUGGGGCUUUGUCACGCGCUCGGGAGGGGCCUGCGGGCGUUGGUCACCCCUAUUUCUUUUUGACGGUUGACCUCGGAUCAGGUAGGAGUUACCCGCUGAACUUAA
rnacentral:misc_RNA from 1 species